UACGUGUUUUCGUGUCAGAGGUAACGCCUGCCCAGUGAGCACAUUUCAACGGCCGCGGUAUCCUAACCGUGCAAAGGUAGCGCAAUCACUUGUCCCCUAAAUAGUGACUAGUAUGAACAGCUAUACGAGAAUAAACCUGUCUCUUUUGACAAAUCAGUGAAACUGAUCUUCCAGUACAAAAGCUGGAAUACCGACAUAAGACGAAAAGACCCUGUGGAGCCUCAAUAUCACUCUAUCCCCAUUAGCACAAAUAUUUUAGUUGGGGCAACUUCGGAACAAAACUAAACUUCCGAGCAUGCUCCGGAAACACCGCUAUCAAGACAAACAUGUCAAAACCCGAGCCAGAUCCAGUAACCCACUGACCAACGAACCAAGUUACCCCAGGGAUAACAGCGCCAUCUUCUUCUAGAGACCCCAUCGACAAGAAGGUUUACGACCUCGAUGCUGGAUCAGGACGCCCCAGCAGCGCAGCCGCUACUAAAGGUUCGUUUGUUCAACGAUUAAAGCCCUACGUGAUCUGAGUUCAAACCGGAGAUCCGCCUGUUUAUCAAAAACAUGCCCUGUUUUGCA
rnacentral:rRNA from 1 species